AAGAAUGUGUUUUUCCUCAUCUGCGUCCAUACUAAAUGUGAGGUCGAGUAUGUCGCUCACGUCAU
rnacentral:sRNA from 1 species